rnacentral:rRNA from 1 species
AUUGAACGCUGGCGGCAUGCCUUACACAUGCAAGUCGAACGUGAAAGGGGGGCAACCCCCCGAGUAGAGUGGCGGACGGGUGAGCAACACAUCGGAACGUACCCAGUAGUGGGGGACAACCUCGAGAAAUCGAGGCUAAUACCGCAUACGACCCACGGGUGAAAGCGGGGGACCGCAAGGCCUCGCGCUAUUGGAGCGGCCGAUGUCCGAUUAGCUUGUUGGUGGGGUAACGGCCCACCAAGGCGACGAUCGGUAGCUGGUCUGAGAGGAUGAUCAGCCACACUGGGACUGAGACACGGCCCAGACUCCUACGGGAGGCAGCAGUGGGGAAUUUUUGGACAAUGGGGGCGAACCCUGAUCCAGCCAUGCCGCGUGCGGGAAGAAGGCCUUC